rnacentral:rRNA from 1 species
CACGAAGGACCCGCGCGUUGCUCGGAAUCACUGGGCGUAAAGGGAGCGUAGGCUGCGCGGUAAGUCAGGUGUGAAAUCCCGGGGCUCAACCCCGGAACUGCACCCGAUACUGCCGUGCUUGAGGGUUGGAGAGGUAGCUGGAAUUCUCGGUGUAGCAGUGAAAUGCGUGGAUAUCGAGAGGAACACUCGUGGCGAAGGCGAGCUACUGGACAACAUCUGACGCUGAGGCUCGAAGGCCAGGGGAGCAAAAGGG